AUUGAACGCUGGCGGCAGGCCUAACACAUGCAAGUCGAACGGUAACAGGGAUCAGCUUGCUGAUUCGCUGACGAGUGGCGGACGGGUGAGUAAUGUCUGGGAAACUGCCUGAUGGAGGGGGAUAACUACUGGAAACGGUAGCUAAUACCGCAUAACGUCGCAAGACCAAAGAGGGGGACCUUCGGGCCUCUUGCCAUCGGAUGUGCCCAGAUGGGAUUAGCUAGUAGGUGGGGUAACGGCUCACCUAGGCGACGAUCCCUAGCUGGUCUGAGAGGAUGACCAGCCACACUGGAACUGAGACACGGUCCAGACUCCUACGGGAGGCAGCAGUGGGGAAUAUUGCACAAUGGGCGCAAGCCUGGUGCAGCCAUGCCGCGUGUAUGAAGAAGGCCUUCGGGUUGUAAAGUACUUUCAGCGGGGAGGAAGGGAGUAAAGUUAAUACCUUUGCUCAUUGACGUUACCCGCAGAAGAAGCACCGGCUAACUCCGUG
rnacentral:rRNA from 1 species